rnacentral:rRNA from 1 species
GACGAACGCUGGCGGCGUGCUUAACACAUGCAAGUCGAACGGAAGGGCCCUGCUUUUGUGGGGUGCUCGAGUGGCGAACGGGUGAGUAACACGUGAGUGACCUGCCCUUGACUUUGGGAUAACUUCAGGAAACUGGGGCUAAUACCGGAUAGGAGCUCCUGCUGCAUGGUGGGGGUUGGAAAGUUUCGGCGGUUGGGGAUGGACUCGCGGCUUAUCAGCUUGUUGGUGGGGUAGUGGCUUACCAAGGCUUUGACGGGUAGCCGGCCUGAGAGGGUGACCGGCCACAUUGGGACUGAGAUACGGCCCAGACUCCUACGGGAGGCAGCAGUGGGGAAUAUUGCACAAUGGGCGGAAGCCUGAUGCAGCAACGCCGCGUGCGGGAUGACGGCCUUCGGGUUGUAAACCGCUUUCGCCUGUGACGAAGCGUGAGUGACGGUAAUGGGUAAAGAAGCACCGGCUAACUACGUG